GACGAACCGUGCGAACGUUGUUCGGAAUCACUGGGCUUAAAGGGUGCGUAGGCGGCGCGGUAAGUCGGGUGUGAAAUCUCGGAGCUUAACUCCGAAACUGCAUUCGAUACUGCCGUGCUUGAGGACUGGAGAGGAGACUGGAAUUUACGGUGUAGCGGUGAAAUGCGUAGAUAUCGUAAGGAAGACCAGUGGCGAAGGCGGGUCUCUGGACAGUUCCUGACGCUGAGGCACGAAGGUCAGGGGAGCAAACGGG
rnacentral:rRNA from 1 species